CUUCACCGACCCCAGCCGCAGCGGCUCGUCCCGGUCGUGGCCGUAGGUCGCGAGGAGCGCCUGGGCCUC
rfam:Pseudonocardia sp. EC080619-01, complete genome.